rnacentral:rRNA from 1 species
AGUGGGGAAUAUUGCACAAUGGAGGACACUCUGAUGCAGCAACGCCGCGUGGAGGAUGACGCAUUUCGGUGUGUAAACUCCUUUUAUAUAGGAAGAUAAUGACGGUACUAUAUGAAUAAGCACCGGCUAACUCCGUGCCAGCAGCCGCGGUAAUACGGAGGGUGCAAGCGUUACUCGGAAUCACUGGGCGUAAAGCGCAUGCAGGCGGUUUAUUAAGUUGGAAGUGAAAUCCUAUGGCUCAACCAUAGAACUGCUUCCAAAACUGAUAAACUAGAGUCUGGGAGGGGAAGAUGGAAUUAGUAGUGUAGGGGUAAAAUCCGUAGAGAUUACUAGGAAUACCAAAAGCGAAGGCGAUCUUCUGGAACAGUACUGACGCUGAGAUGCGAAAGCGUGGGGAGCAAACAGGAUUAGAUACCCUGGUAGUCCACGCAGUAAACGAUGAAUGUUAGUCGUUGGGACUCUAGUAGUUUCAGUGAUGCAGUUAACACAUUAAACAUUCCGCCUGGGGAGUACGGUCGCAAGAUUAAAACUCAAAGGAAUAGACGGGGACCCGCACAAGUGGUGGAGCAUGUGGUUUAAUUCGAAGAUACGCGAAGAACCUUACCUAGCCUUGACAUACUACAGAAUUUGACAGAGAUGUUGAAGUGCCUUCGGGAGCUGUAAUACAGGUGCUGCACGGCUGUCGUCAGCUCGUGUCGUGAGAUGUUGGGUUAAGUCCCGCAACGAGCGCAACCCUCGUCCUUAGUUACUAACGGUUCGGCCGAGGACUCUAAGGAGACUGCCUUCGUAAGGAGGAGGAAGGUGAGGACGACGUCAAGUCAUCAUGGCCCUUACGGCUAGGGCAACACACGUGCUACAAUGGUUAGGACAAUGAGAAGCGAUACCGCGAGGUGGAGCAAAUCUAUAAACCUAAUCUCAGUUCGGAUAGCAGUCUGCAACUCGACUGCUUGAAGCUGGAAUCACUAGUAAUCGUAAAUCAGCUAUGUUACGGUGAAUACGU